UGGGGAAUAUUGGACAAUGGGCGAAAGCCUGAUCCAGCCAUGCCGCGUGUGUGAAGAAGGUCUUCGGAUUGUAAAGCCCUUUAAGUUGGGAGGAAGGGCAGUAAGCGAAUACCUUGCUGUUUUGACGUUACCGACAGAAUAAGCACCGGCUAACUCUGUGCCAGCAGCCGCGGUAAUACAGAGGGUGCGAGCGUUAAUCGGAUUUACUGGGCGUAAAGCGUGCGUAGGCGGCUAAUUGAGUAGGAUGUGAAAUCCCCGAGCUUAACUUGGGAAUUGCAUUCGAUACUGGUUAGCUAGAGUGGGAGAGGAUGGUAGAAUUCCAGGUGUAGCGGUGAAAUGCGUAGAGAUCUGGAGGAAUACCGAUGGCGAAGGCAGCCAUCUGGCCUAACACUGACGCUGAGGUACGAAAGCAUGGGGAGCAAACAGG
rnacentral:rRNA from 1 species